UUGAACGCUGGCGGCAUGCCUUACACCUGCAAGUCGAACGGCAGCGCGGGAGCAAUCCUGGCGGCGAGUGGCGAACGGGUGAGUAAUACAUCGGAACGUGCCCAAUCGUGGGGGAUAACGCAGCGAAAGCUGUGCUAAUACCGCAUACGAUCUACGGAUGAAAGCAGGGGAUCGCAAGACCUUGCGCGAAUGGAGCGGCCGAUGGCAGAUUAGGUAGUUGGUGAGGUAAAGGCUCACCAAGCCUUCGAUCUGUAGCUGGUCUGAGAGGACGACCAGCCACACUGGGACUGAGACACGGCCCAGACUCCUACGGGAGGCAGCAGUGGGGAAUUUUGGACAAUGGGCGAAAGCCUGAUCCAGCCAUGCCGCGUGCAGGAUGAAGGCCUUCGGGUUGUAAACUGCUUUUGUACGGAACGAAACGGUCUUUUCUAAUAAAGAAGGCUAAUGACGGUACCGGAAGAAUAAGCACCGGCUAACUACGUG
rnacentral:rRNA from 1 species